UGAAAGUUGGGUUUGUUUUGUCCAGGAGGAUGUGGAAAUUACGGUUCAUGCAUGCGCAGUCAUUGGGGAGUGAUUGUUUAGCACUUCUUACCAAUGGUUUGCAUGAGGGAAUGCCGCAUGGCCAAUGCCUGUGUGGUUAACAUACAGAUAUAAUGUGCAGAGAAGAAAUACCUAAUCCACUGCACAGUGUGUAGAAAAAGCCCAGUGCAGUAACAGGCUCACUGAGGAACCCUUACUCACAAUGAGUAGUGCCUCACUACAUUAAUAAGCUCUUUGAGCCAAAUCCUCAGCUGAUAAAUCCACAUCAUUACUAAUGGAGCUAUGCUGAUCGACACCAACUGAGGACCUGGCCCAUUAGAUACAGUGGGACUGCUCAUGGAGCAAGGUACUAUUCAGUGUGAGUAAAGAUCUCAGGAUCUGACCCAGAAGGUGGCAGAGCUCCCCAACCUUGUCUCACCCAGCACUCGGGCCUAUCCAGAUGCCAACUGUAACUUGAUUUCAAUGGGAGUUUUGAGUGUGCAAGCAUUGCUGUAUCACAGCCGCUAACUGCAUCCUCCCAAGUUAUUUUUUGUUGCUUCCCAGUCUCUCCUUUCCUCUGCUCAGGAAAAUGAGGUCAAUUUCUAGCAGAAGGGAAACAUGCCUGAGCUGUCACUUAAGUGCAGCUGAAUGAGGUGUGGGGGCAGCCCCAGCUAAGGCCUUGUUUCUAAAUAAAUGAAAUGUGUAGCCUCUCUAUGGUCAGCUGAGAGGGAGAAGUCUAUUUCAGAACUGAUAGCAGGUGCUGCUAAGCUUUUUCUAUUUUCCAGCUCUGCAACCUCAGGAACCUCUUUAAUCCAGAUCUGCAGCCAAGCUCCACCCACUGGCACUGUUAUGCUUUAUUCACAGAUAAUUGGAAAUAGAAUGUAAACUCACUGACUGACUCCAACUGAAACUCAGAAGAAAUCCGUGACUAAUGAGCGUUUAUUUAAAGAAGUCUUGCUUUUCUGUGAUGAGGAUGGGUGGCAGGUGCACACUGCCCGAAGUCAGCAAAAGAGAAUGGAAAUCUCUUCUGGAUUCAAUCAAAAACACCUUUGAACUUGGAGAAGGUUUGAAAUCCAGGAACUGAAUUCCCCAGCUGCUCCCUAUGUCUGUAUUGGGCUGAACCAAACAUCCAGAUGUGAAUACUGUAGACUUCAAGGGCAUUCAAAAUCUGGAUGUUGAUCUGAAUUUUGCUGCUUGAGGCCAUCUCUAAAUAAUAGGAAUAUACCUUCCUUUAUCUAUCCAUCUGUGUAGACUUUUACACCAUAUUAAUCAUCUGUUAGCUAUCUCUGUCAUAGAAUCAUAGAAAUAUCAGGAUUGGAAGGGACCUCAGGUAGUCACCUAGUCCAACCCCCUGCUCAAAGCAGGACCAAUCCACAGACAGAUUUUUGCCCCAGAUUCCUAAGUGGCCCCCUCAAGGAUUGAAUUCACAACCCUGGGUUUAGCAGGCCAAUGCUCAAACCACUAAGCUAUCCCUCCCCUUGCCAUCUGCUAUGAUUUAUGAUUUAACUUUGUAAGAGAGUUGGCAUACUGUUAAUAGAAUAUGCUGUCUAAAAUAAAGUUGCAUUGUACAGUAUUGUGGUUUUUGUC
rnacentral:lncRNA from 1 species